GAAAAACUUAUAUACUUUUACAGCCCAAUAAAUAAAGAAAAAUUUUAUAACAUAAUAAAUAAAAAAAUUCACCCAAAAGAAAUAAACAAAAAUUUAUGAAAUAUAAAAAUAAUUUAAUAUAAUUAACAAAAAUCUGUUUUGAUCCACUAAUAUAUAUAUAAAGAAGAUUGUUGCCUGAAAUCCCUAUGCAGCAUGAUUGGUGAAGGCAUCUUCAAGCACUUCACAGACUCGUGUUCAAGUCUUGUGGAUGAAAGUUUCAAUUUUUUUUUUUUUAAGUACAGUAAUUUACCCGUUUGAACCCUGCCAGGUUAGCCGGUUUAACGAUUACCCGUCCGGCUCAGACUGGUGAAUUUUGGUUCUUAAAUAAGAGGUUAUUAAGCUUGAAACAGACCGGCACUAAUCUGGUUUCCGGUCAAACUGGCCAGACCAUACCAGUUCUAAGAACAAUGCAACAUUCCCAUACUCCAAACCAACAUGCUAUUAAACUCUGUCAGUUAGGAUUUUAUUAAUGGCCUUUAUUAUAAAAAUGCACAAUAAUAAUCUAUAUUCAAUUUGAUUUACUAAUAUUUGAUAAACAAUUGGUUAUUGAUUUUAAGAAAUUGCAAUCAUAUCAUAGUGAACGAAGCAGAAGCCAAGUCAAUGGGAGCCCAUGUUAAGAAAUUUGGGCACCUGCAUGUGAGCUACUUAGGUUCCUAAACUUCCAAAUAUGCUGAAGAGGGCAGGUGGAUGACUAUUUGCUUCUUCAACCCUAAUUUAUGUAACUUCUUACAAUAAUGUCCUGUACUAUUCAACUCGAUGCUGUAGUAAAUGCAAAUAGCCAGUGCACAAUGCAUACAACAGUAAACAAGAAUAUUCACUACCAAGUACAAUAGACCGAAAUAUCAGAUGUCAGAACAUGAAAACUUUAAAAGGGUCUAAAAUUAUUACCAUCUGUUCAAUAAUAGGCCCCGCAUCAAGUUCUUCAGUCACGAAGUGACUAGUUGCACCAAUUAAUUUCACACCUGCAUCAAAAGCCUGCCAACAUUGUCCAACAAAUUAAAUGUGUGGAGGAAAGCGAAAAGGUUAAAAGAUUAUCAUUUCUGCAUGACAUGAAUAUGGUAGAAAUCAACCUGCUUAGAUGGAUGGCCACCCCUAAAUGAUGGCAAAAGGCCAUGGUGAAUGUUAAUUAUAUCUUUCCCAUAGCCACGCAAAAAGUUACUAGAGAAUAUCUGAGGUAAAGAAUAAACCUUGUAAGUUUCAAAAACCAUAACGUUGGUUAAACAAUUUCACCAAAGACGUGUAGGUGUGCUUUAUAACUAAUAUAUGGUGAUGGACGUCCUGAUAUGAAAGUCCAUUGAUUUGCAGGUUUAAAGUAACCCGAAGAAGCUUGUUUAUUCCAUCAGCUUGGCCUUUUAAUGAUAAAACCAACAGCCACCAUAUCUGGCAUAUAUUGAUAUUGACAAGAAGCAAACUGAUUAAAUUUACCUGCAUAUACCUGGCAAGUACUAAAAAAUCAGUAUCCUUCACCAAAUCCAAUAUCUCCUUUUCUCUCUUAUUUUCUUUGGUCGUGCGCAAAUAAUGAUAAGGAAUACAAUUUCUAUCAAGAAAGCGAAUCACAUGUGUGUUUGGGCCUCUUUCAUGAUUACUUAUUACACAAGUUAUCUCGAUUGGAAAUCUUCCAUCCUGCCAUCUAUGUAACAAAUCAGUUAGGCAAUGCUCCUGCAGCAACAAGACAAAGGUAGUUGACACAAAAUCUACGAAACACAACCAUUGUUGUUAAAAAUAAUAAUUUUAAUAAUAAGAAACAGAGAGAAAAAUUUUACCUGCUUGGAAACAAGAAUAGCAAUCUUGAAUUUGGGGUCUAGAUCAGGCACCCUGACAAUUGACGUCUUUGCAUUGAACAUUUUUGAUAGCUUGAGAAAGUCCUCAUCCAUUUGAGCCCGUGGCCAUCUAACUCUGUCAAAAACAAACUCACUUCUAGAAUAGAAGACAUUCUGGUUUUCGGGCACGAAAACAUCAGCCCCUAGAAUAUUUCCACCUUUCGAAGAAAUGCAAUCCGAUAGCUUGGCAACAAUACCAACCGAAUCCUAUCAUUAAAAAACCAGUUUUCUUUCAAUAAAAUUCAUUUCUCUUAAAAGGGUAUAGAAAUUUCGGAGCCAGAAGGAAAGAUAUCGAGAUCUACUAGGCAUUGAAAAACAUGGAUGCCAUGGGUGAGGCAAGGAGAGGAAGAGGAACCGAAGGACUCCCCAGGCAAUCUCAGGGACGUGAAGGACCUGCUUGCAAAUCCAAAAACUUGAGGAAUGCUUGAAGAGACCCUUCGUAAUAUCAGGCUCAUCCCUUUAGUCUGUUCGUGAACCGCAGAAGCACAGGCACCGAGGCACGCACCAAAACUUGGCGGCCUUUACCCCUUGCUUUUGGU
rnacentral:misc_RNA from 1 species